UCUUAUCCUAAUAUGCAUCAUCUGGUUCAUAGCUGGUUGAGGUUUCAGAGGCUGAUGGUUUGGGAAUCAUGUUGCAUAUUUUGUCGAGUGUCGGCUUUUUUAUUUUGUGAACAAAAACUAGUAUUAUAUGUUCUUGUACAUUGGCGUUACUAGUACUAUAGUGUUAUUGCACAACAGCUCUUUAACAUUGCUGCAUUUUGAGGCUCUUUACUUCAAUUGAUAUCAUGGAUGAGUGGAAUUUCAUCUUUUUGGUGGGAUUAAACUAAAUAUAUAUCCUGACUUGAUAAUUACCCCUUUUUGAUCUUAUUUUUCAAAUUCAUUUAUUUUAUGAGUUCACAAUUUUUG
rnacentral:lncRNA from 1 species